GGAGGAAUGGGCAGAGGGGUCCCAAGAAGACGUGGCCAUGCAAUGGGAGCCCUGACUUAACAGGCUCAUUGCCAGAGAAAUUGCUGCUAUGUGCUUCCAACCUGGCCUGAGGGAGAUCCCAGAGACCAGGACAUCCAGCGAGGCCCCAUGGCAGCACCCAGCAGCAGCCAAACUUUGGGUUUCUCCAGCUGACACUGACCUACGGGUUCUGGGCAUGAGAGGGGAUCUCUCUUUUGGCUUGGCUUGUGCCAAGGGGAAGGGAAUGCACUUGGGAGUGGGCAGGGCGGUCAUGGGGGUGCUGAGGGGGCCAUGCAAGAACAGCCCCACGUUGUUACACAAGGACAGCACAUCCAUCACAAGGACUGGCUUGGGGCACUGGGGUGCAGCCCACAGAGCACAGGCUGAAAACCACAGGCACAGAGCAGGGAGCAGCCAGGGGAGUGCAGAUCCUGCCCAGUGCUGGGAGAAGGUGGAAUCCCCAGAGACCCAACAGAGUGCAGUGGUGUGAGGACAGCUGUACACUCACAGCUGCAUUAGAGAAGCAUGGCACAUGCAGUGCCUGCCUUGUUUAACCAACCCUCCUGCAUACAAAGUGACCUAUUCUGCACCUCGGGGAACUCGGUGCUUGCUUUAGUGAUUCAGAUCUGGCUUUGUCCAACCCAAGAUCUUCCCCAAAUGCCACAGUCAACCAGCCAAGCCUCGAGCUGCUUUGCCCAUGGGAGCUGCUGCAAGCCAAGAGAGUGCAAGAGGAGAGCCAUGCUGAUGCCUGGCAUCUUGUGCCCUUUAGGGAAAAACAAUUCUUCAGAAGUCCUUUGUGAUUCGAAUGAGGAGUUAAGCUGACUCAGAGGUGAUUUAUACACACUGCUGCCCCACAUCUGCCCACAGCCACAGACCCAUUGGCAGCUGUAGCUGAUGAAUCUCAACAUAGGUCACAGCUCUGUGGACUUCCAGCCUUCCACUCCAUAUCUCUACUCUCAGACUUUGUCCUUCAAUGAGUGGGGGGCUGCAAUGGGAUUUGUGGGUGUCCAUCCCUCAAAGACAAGCCUUUCCCUUAGUAGGUGAUAUUCCUAAUGGCUUUAAUUUUGGAACAUGCAGGAGCUCUGCAGAGCCAAGCGUGGAGUCAGAACCCAGUGCAGGAGAUUCUGAAUCAUGAGAUUCCUCAGAUCCUUCUGUUUACACCCAAAUAUGUGGCUCACGUGGCUACUUGAGUUGUUCUGCAGUCUCCCCACGAAGCUGAAUUACAUCCCAUAGCAGUUGGGUGGGUUUAAGAUGAAGCAAAUAGUGGGAAUUGCUUGGUCAGAGGAAUAACCCCCGCCUUGUCCCCAUCCAUCAGUACCUUUUACAUCCAAUAGAGCUCUGCCUGUGUGCUCCCACCUCUUGCCCCCAUGGGUUUGGGAACAUGCAGACUUUACCACAGUGAUACCACUGGAGCUGUGAAGUCAGUGCAUGAUGGAUAAAACAUGAAGAGGGGACACCUAUAAGCAAAAGCACAACGAACACAGUGUAAG
rnacentral:lncRNA from 1 species